rnacentral:rRNA from 1 species
UACGUAGGGUGCAAGCGUUAUCCGGAAUUAUUGGGCGUAAAGAGCUCGUAGGCGGUUUGUCGCGUCUGCUGUGAAAACUGGGGGCUCAACCCCCAGCCUGCAGUGGGUACGGGCAGACUAGAGUGCGGUAGGGGAGAUUGGAAUUCCUGGUGUAGCGGUGGAAUGCGCAGAUAUCGGGAGGAACACCAGUGGCGAAGGCGACUACCUGGCCUGUUCUUGACGCUGAGGCGCGAAAGCUAGGGGAGCAAACGGG